rnacentral:rRNA from 1 species
GAUGAACGCUGGCGGCGUGCCUAAUACAUGCAAGUCGAGCGAACGGACGAGAAGCUUGCUUCUCUGAUGUUAGCGGCGGACGGGUGAGUAACACGUGGAUAACCUACCUAUAAGACUGGGAUAACUUCGGGAAACCGGAGCUAAUACCGGAUAAUAUUUUGAACCGCAUGGUUCAAAAGUGAAAGACGGUCUUGCUGUCACUUAUAGAUGGAUCCGCGCUGCAUUAGCUAGUUGGUAAGGUAACGGCUUACCAAGGCAUCGAUGCAUAGCCGACCUGAGAGGGUGAUCGGCCACACUGGAACUGAGACACGGUCCAGACUCCUACGGGAGGCAGCAGUAGGGAAUCUUCCGCAAUGGGCGAAAGCCUGACGGAGCAACGCCGCGUGAGUGAUGAAGGUCUUCGGAUCGUAAAGCUCUGUUAUUAGGGAAGAACAUAUGUGUAAGUAACUGUGCACAUCUUGACGGUACCUAAUCAGAAAGCCACGGCUAACUACGUG